rnacentral:tRNA from 1 species
GCGACGUAGCCAAGUGGUAAGGCAGUGGUCUGCAAAACCAUUAUUCACCGGUUCAAAUCCGGUCGUCGC